GACGUAGGGCGCGAGCGUUGUCCGGAUUUAUUGGGCGUAAAGAGCUCGUAGGCGGUUUGUCGCGUCUGCCGUGAAAGUCCGGGGCUCAACUCCGGAUCUGCGGUGGGUACGGGCAGACUAGAGUGCAGUAGGGGAGACUGGAAUUCCUGGUGUAGCGGUGAAAUGCGCAGAUAUCAGGAGGAACACCGAUGGCGAAGGCAGGUCUCUGGGCUGUAACUGACGCUGAGGAGCGAAAGCAUGGGGAGCGAACAGG
rnacentral:rRNA from 1 species